GGACCCUGAAAGACAACUCUCUGCAACUUUAAGAACAUGGACUGGGCUUGAAGGGGCAGUAAGGAAAGAAUGAUUCAUUUUGACUGUGAUUGCUGGGAAAGAUAUCUUGAAAUGGAGACUGUGAGUAGUGGAUGAAGUUUUGUGUUUGCUCUACUGACCUGAAGUGAGGAACAACCACAUACAUCUUUGUCUUCACUCUGUCCAGCUGUCAACUGCAUUGUUCCCUCACGUCUUCCUGCAAAGUACCAUUAUUUCCACACCUUAAGAAUUAAAGAGUGAAGAGAAAACGACAAAAUGUUCUUGUUUAUCAGGAGAUGGGGGUGAGCUGAGCUUUCCACAAGGUCCUGAAUGGAUGAGAAGGACCCAAAACAUAUGGAAAAUAUGGAGAAUAGGGUAUAAGUAAUAAAAAUAAAAAUAAAAUAAAUAAAAUAAAUUGGGAAU
rnacentral:lncRNA from 1 species